GACGAACGCUGGCGGCGUGCUUAACACAUGCAAGUCGAACGGAAAGGCCCUGCUUUUGUGGGGUGCUAGAGUGGCGAACGGGUGAGUAACACGUGAGUCACCUUCCCUUGCCUUUGGGAUAACUUCAGGAAACUGGGGCUAAUACCGGAUAGUAGCUCCUGCUGCAUGGUGGGGUUUGGAAAGUUUCGGCGGUUGGGGAUGGACUCGCGGCUUAUCAGCUUGUUGGUGGGGUAGUGGCUUACCAAGGCUUUGACGGGUAGCCGGCCUGAGAGGGUGAACGGCCACAUUGGGACUGAGAUACGGCCCAGACUCCUACGGGAGGCAGCAGGGGGGAAUAUUGCACAAUGGGCGGAAGCCUGAUGCGGCAACGCCGCGUGCGGGAUGAAGGCCUUCGGGUUGUAAACCGCUUUCGCCUGUGACGAAGCGUGAGUGACGGUAAUGGGUAAAGAAGCACCGGCUAACUACGUG
rnacentral:rRNA from 1 species